UACGGAGGAUGCGAGCGUUAUCCGGAUUUAUUGGGUUUAAAGGGUGCGUAGGCGGGCAUUUAAGCCGGCGGUCAAAUGUCGGGGCCCAACCCCGGGAGUGCAUUUGAAACUGCCAUGCUGGAGUGCCGGAGAGGUAAGCGGAAUUCCUAGUGUAGCGGUGAAAUGCGUAGAUAUUAGGAGGAACACCAGUGGCGGAGGCGGCUUACUGGACGGUAACUGACGCUGAGGCUCGAAAGCGUGGGGAGCAAACAGG
rnacentral:rRNA from 1 species